GACGAACGCUGGCGGCGUGCUUAACACAUGCAAGUCGAAGGUAGUGGCGAACGGGUGAGUAACACGUGAGUAACCUGCCCUUUUCUUUGGGAUAAGCCUGGGAAACUGGGUCUAAUACUGGAUGGAUUGGGAUGGGCUCGCGGCUUAUCAGCUUGUUGGUGGGGUGAGGGCUUACCGAGGCUUUGACGGGUAGCCGGGCUGAGAGGGUAGUCGGGGACUCAGGGACGGAGAUACGGCCCAGAGUCCGCAGGGAGGGAGCAUUGGGGGAUAUUGCAGAAAGUACGACAGGCUGAUGCAGCGACGUCGUGUGGGGGAUGAAGGCCUUAAGGUUGUAAUGUCCGUGUGGAAGCGGAACGGUAGUGGGUAAAGAAGCGCCGGCUAACUACGUGCCAGCAGCCGCGGUAAUAC
rnacentral:rRNA from 1 species